rnacentral:rRNA from 1 species
UACGUAGGGUGCAAGCGUUAAUCGGAAUUACUGGGCGUAAAGCGUGCGCAGGCGGUUUUGUAAGUCUGUCGUGAAAUCCCCGGGCUUAACCUGGGAACUGCGUUUGAAACUACAAGGCUAGAGUGUGACAGAGGGGGGGUGGAAUUCCACGUGUAGCAGUGAAAUGCGUAGAGAUGUGGAGGAACACCGAUGGCGAAGGCAGCCCCCUGGGUCAAGAUUGACGCUCAUGCACGAAAGCGUGGGGAGCAAACAGG